rnacentral:lncRNA from 10 species
CGACCCCCCCCCCCGCAACACCCACCCACCUCCGCUUCCCAGAUGCCAGCCGGGAGGGUGCCCCUGUGAGCGUGCUCCAAGGCCUCCGUUAGCUCCGGGCAGGGCUCGGCUGUCUUCAUGGGACCCUGGAGGGGAAAAACCAGCCACCAUGUUGUAAGGAUGCUCAAGUAGCACUAUGGAGAUUCACACGUGGCAAAGAGCUGAGGCCUCCCACCAACAGCCACAUGAGGGAGCCAGAGUAGGAGUGGCUCCUCCAGCCCCAGUCGAACCUUCAGAUGUGACAGACUUGGCUGCUGACAGUUUGCAAUCUCAUGAGACCCUGAGCCAGAACCACCCAGCUAAAUCAGUCCUGGACUCCUGAUCAACAGAAAUGGUGUAGACCAAAGAGAGGCGUUUUGAACAUUAAGACGCUUUGCUGCUUCUCACCUGAAACACGUAACAGGAACACCAACCUCUUCAGCCGCGGGAAAUCUUCUUUGACACAAAACUCAAACCGAGUCAACCCAAAGUUCCAAGUUCUUUGCUUUCUCUUCUGUGUGUGUGUUGGUUUGUCCCAAAAGUCAGUUUGCAAGUUGAAACUUCAUGAAAUUACUCGUAGCAGAAAUAAAGUACAUUGUACAAAUCA